rnacentral:rRNA from 1 species
AUGAAGGCCAACUCGAUCGUCCUCAUCCACCAAUCCGGUAGUCCGUGGCGUCUCGUGGAUAUCUACACCCAGCGAGAGAUCACCCUUCCAUCUUUUGAUACCGCCGCCAUCGAGCCUCGCGGCCCGCCGGACACUCCUGCCUACUAUGCACGAGACGCAGUUGAUAUGAUAACUGUAGACCUGGAAUCAUACCAGCCGAUGGGUGGUGGUUUAUCGCUCGUUCAGCUGAAGUACCAUAUAACUGGAAUUAACCCAUGCAAGUCGAAGAAGGAUUGGCCGGUGCUGCCAGCUGGUGUCAAGUUCGAUCCCACAUAUCAGGAGCUGAUCGAGCACCUUGAGGCCAAAGUGAGUGCUAACAGCGCGAUAUCUCACCCUCUCAUCGAUUUGUUCAUAGCAACCAUCGACAGCGAGCACGACAUAUGCUACACCCAUCCUGAGAAACUUCCAGGUAUCACACUGAGUGGCCUAAGCAAGCAUUUCUUCCAGCGUAAUUCCAGGGCGUUCAAAAGAGGCACGUGGACGCGUCGCAAGAUACAGCCGGGGUGCGGCAUGCACGCGAUGUGGCACAACACCGGCAAUACCUUGCCGGUGAUGGUCAACGGCCGGCAGACGGGCAGCAAAAAGGUUCUGGUGCUGCACACCAACAAGAACUUCGACCAGCUGAGGACCAACUGGGUGAUGCACCAGUACCACCUCGGGGACCUGGAGCAAGAGGAUCGGGAGCUGGUCCUCUGCAAGAUUUUCUACCAGACAAACACUAGGGCUAGGAGUAAAAAGAUUAUAAGUUAG